rnacentral:rRNA from 1 species
AGUGAACGCUGGCGGUAGGCCUAACACAUGCAAGUCGAACGGCAGCACAGUAAGAGCUUGCUCUUACGGGUGGCGAGUGGCGGACGGGUGAGGAAUACAUCGGAAUCUACUUUUUCGUGGGGGAUAACGUAGGGAAACUUACGCUAAUACCGCAUACGACCUACGGGUGAAAGCAGGGGAUCUUCGGACCUUGCGCGAUUGAAUGAGCCGAUGUCGGAUUAGCUAGUUGGCGGGGUAAAGACCCACCAAGGCGACGAUCCGUAGCUGGUCUGAGAGGAUGAUCGGCCACACUGGAACUGAGACACGGUCCAGACUCCUACGGGAGGCAGCAGUGGGGAAUAUUGGACAAUGGGCGCAAGCCUGAUCCAGCCAUACCGCGUGGGUGAAGAAGGCCUUCGGGUUGUAAAGCCCUUUUGUUGGGAAAGAAAAGCAGCAGGUUAAUACCCCGCUGUUCUGACGGUACCCAAAGAAUAAGCACCGGCUAACUUCGUG